ACCCUCUGUUUCCCUUUUCCAUUGGGCCUGAAUGUUGGUCUUGGUGGUCAUAAAAGGAGAGAAAAUGAUACUGAAUCAGACCUCACAGCCUUGCAGUUCAGCGUAUAGCAAGUGGGCAGGUUUCAAACAGGA
rnacentral:snoRNA from 1 species